GGCUAGUCUGGAUGUUGACGGGGUGAUUAAAAUCUGGUCUAUUGAUGGCAUCAUGCAGACAAAAGCUUCCAAAAAUCUCCAAGUCGGCUCUGCUCUCCCUGGAAUGGGCGACAAAGAGAGACAGACUGAUCAGUUGCAAGCGGACAGCCACACAAAACUGCUCAAAUGAGGAUUUCUUUGUCCCCAGUGCUGUCUGAGGACCAUAGAUAUAUUUGAAUAACAUAAUAAUCAGUGCCAUCAGCCUGAUGAGUUGCAGCCAAUGAUGGGCCAGAAAGGUUGAAGAAGAAAGGUUGACAACCAUCUCAUUGAGGUCAACCUUUCCAAAGCCACCCAUCCAGAGAACAAGAAAACAAAACCAUGAUAGUUCUAAUUCUAUGAGUUGUGAACCAAAAUUGGAUCUCUGUGCAGUUCAAGUGGGUCUCAGUGAAGUUCCUUCUACAUUAGUAUUUAAAAUAAGGCACAUCAUUACUUUUGAGCCAAUGCUGGGGUCACAACGCUAACUCCAACUGGGUCCUCUAAAAAACCAUUCCCUGCAAGCCCAACUGCCAAUUCAGCCUCAUGAGUUGCAACCAAUGAUGACCAAAAAGGCAUCCAUCCAUUUGCCUGAACCUGAGCACAUACACACUAGGUUGACAACCAUCUCAUUGAGGUCAACCUUUACAAAGCCACCCAACCAGAGAACAAGAAAACAAAACCAUGAUAGUUCUAAUUCUAUGAGUUGGGAACCUAAAUUGGGUCACUGUGCAGUUCAUGGUGGGUCUCAGUGAAGUUCCUUCUACAUCAGUAUUUAAAAUAAGGCACAUCAUUACUUCUAAGCCAAUGCUGAGGUCACAACGCUAACUCCAACUGGGUCCUCUAAGAAACCAUUCCCUGCCAGCCCAACUGUCAAUUCAGCCUCAUGAGUUGCAGCCAAUGAUGCCCAAAAAGGCAUCUAUCCAUUUGCCUGAACAUACACACUAAGUUGACAACCAUCUCAUUGAGGUCAACCUUUUCAAAGCCACCCAUCCAGAGAAUAAGAAAACAAAACCAUUCACAUGAUGAGUCUAAUUCUAUGAGUCACCCAUCCGAAUAAAAAACCAAAACCAUGAUGGUUCUAAUUUUAUGAGUUGGGAACCCAAUUUGGGUCUCUGUGAGGUCCAUAGUGGGUCUCAGUAAAGUUCCUGUUACAUCAACAUCUGAAAUAAGGCAGAUCAUUACUUCUUGCCCUAAAAGGCAUCCAUUUGCCUAAACCUGAGCACAUAAACACUAGGUUGACAACUAUCUCAUUGAGGUCAACCUUUCCAAAGCAACCCAUCCAGAGAAUAAGAAAACAAAACCAUUAGCAUGAUGGUUCUAAUUCUAUGAGUUGGGAACAGAAAUUGGUUCUUCAUACAGUUCAUGGUGGGGCUCAGUGAAGUUCCUGCUAAAUCAGUAUUUGACAUAAGGCACAUCAUUACUUCCAAUGCUGGGUCACAACGCUAACUCCAACUGGGUCCUCUAAGAAACCAUUCCCUGCCAGCCCAACUGCCAAUUCAGCCUCAUAAGGGGCAGCCAACGAUGCUGCCCAAGAUUUCAAGGACCUUUUCUGACGGGAACAUUCUAGCAUUUUAGUCACCGACAUUCCAUCAUUGGAACAAAGUACAAUUUGGAAAGCGCACACCUGCUAUUAUGUAAGUGUUUAAUAAAAUAUUUUUUGUAUCUUUA